AAUCCAUAGGUUAAUGAGGCGAACCGGGGGAACUGAAACAUCUAAGUACCCCGAGGAAAAGAAAUCAACCGAGAUUCCCCCAGUAGCGGCGAGCGAACGGGGAGGAGCCCAGAGCCUGAAUCAGCAUGUGUGUUAGUGGAAGCGUCUGGAAAGGCGCGCGAUACAGGGUGACAGCCCCGUACACAAAAGCGCAUGUGCUGUGAGCUCGAUGAGUAGGGCGGGACACGUGGUAUCCUGUCUGAAUAUGGGGGGACCAUCCUCCAAGGCUAAAUACUCCUGACUGACCGAUAGUGAACCAGUACCGUGAGGGAAAGGCGAAAAGAACCCCGGCGAGGGGAGUGAAAAAGAACCUGAAACCGUGUACGUACAAGCAGUGGGAGCACAGGUUUACCUGUGUGACUGCGUACCUUUUGUAUAAUGGGUCAGCGACUUAUAUUCUGUAGCAAGGUUAACCGCAUAGGGGAGCCGGAGGGAAACC
rnacentral:rRNA from 1 species